AUCUAUGUCCUUGCUACCCUGAACGAGCCGUAUCCCAUCUGAUCUCAGAAGCUAAGCAGGGUUGGGCCUGGUUAAUACUUGGAUGGGAGACCACCCAGGAAGACCAGGUGCUGUAGGUG
rnacentral:rRNA from 1 species